UGGUGGAGCGAUUUGUCUGGUUAAUUCCGAUAACGAACGAGACUCUAGCCUAUUAAAUAGUUCGCCGAUUUUUCGAGUCGGCGUCAACUUCUUAGAGGGACAAGUGUCGUAUAGGCAUGCGAGAUUGAGCAAUAACA
rnacentral:rRNA from 1 species